CUCAGAGUUUGGGGUCAUCUGCAGAUUUUAUGACCAUCCCCCUAAUGCCUUCAUCCAAUUUGUUAUAAUGAUGUUGAGCAACAACGGGCCCAGGACAGAACCUUGUGACACUUACUUUUUCCCACAAAUCAUGAGUCAGCACCUAAACUAUUCUGGACUGGAACCAAUUCAACUGUAGCCAUGAAAGGUUAUGCUCACUUAACGGAUGAGGACAGAGAAGAACAAUAUACCAUGAUCUGCAAAAGGUACUGUCAGCUACUUAUAAAGCUUAAAUGUACACAGUAUAAACAUGGUGAGCAAUGACAAAAACCACGAACAGGUGUUAACUAAUAGCCUUUGUGGAGGAGAAACCAUUGUCUCAUUUCAGGGCAAAACAAAUGCAACUUACUGAUAAGAGCUAGUGCAGCAGUUUUAUGCUGCAGUCUCCCUUUGAAGUUCCUUUGUUAGAGAACAGUUAGCAGCAGAGUGACCUAGAGGCAAUUGAAAUCUGACCAAAACAUGUAAUCUCUAGAAACUGCUUGGGAACAUUUCAGUGUCCUAGACAUAAAUAAUGACUUAAGGCAGCAACAUUAGCAAAUAAACUUCAAAGAAGACUAGGGAGGCAUUGACUGUCUUCACGUUUCCCCCUGCAUCAUGAUUGUUGCAUCAUGCGUAAUAAUAAUUUAUUAUUUAUACCAUGCCCAUCUGGCUGGGUUUCCCCAGCCACUCUGGGUGGCUCCCAAUAGAAUACAGUGGUACCUCGGGUUAAGAACUUAAUUCGUUCUGAAGGUAUGUUCUUAACCUGAGGUACCACUUUAGCUAAUGGGGCCUCCCGCUGCCGCCACCUCGUGAUUUCUGUUCUCAUCCUGAAGUAAAGUUCUUAACCCGAGGUACUAUUUCUGGGUCUGUAACCUGAAGCGUUUGUAACCCAAGGUACCACUGUAUUAAAAACACGAAAAAACAUCAAACAUUAAAAACUUCCCUAAACAUACAUAUCAUGAUUUGCAAUAUAUUGCCAGGUCAAAAAUUAUGAAACUGCUCUCUCUCUCUCUCUAUAUAUAUAUCGUCCAGCCCUAAAGAAGACCACUGUGAAUUGCUGAACUAGAACUGAUCAUUACAUUUGGUUAUUUAGUCCUGAGUUGAGACUAUAGUUUAUUCUCCAUGUGAGGAGAACACUGAAUGCCCUGGUGGAGUAGGCUCUAAUCCACAAAAGCUUCUAUCACAAAUAUUGGGCUCCAAGACUUUUUUUUGGGGGGGGGGGGUUGCUGCAUCAGACAAACCUUUCAAGCUGCAGGGUUCAGUUACACCAUUAAUUCAUGGUGUGAAGAUACAUGUAGUUUCAGAUUAUACUGCAGUAAAUGCGCAGAUAUAAGUAUGAAUUCAGCAACUGCAGCUACAGCGUCAAAGUGUUUGCAGAGAAGCAAGGAAUCUAAGAAGUCUGUAGUUAUGUAUUACACCUAGGAAAAAAUUCAUUUCGCAUCCUCGAGCUUAGCCAUAGUUACAUUAGUGUUCUUUCUACACCUCUUUCCCAUUUAUUGAAAUUCUUUGCCCUGCUAAAUGGCACCUUUCAUCCAGUCACUGACAGCAGAAAGGUUUACAUGGGAGACAAUGUUAAUGUUAUGAUGUAGCCAUUAAAUUAUAGGGCAGGGAUAAUAUAAACACAUGCAGUCGCCUUUCCAAUGUUCAAGAGUAAAAGUACAGAAUGUUAUACCUGAAAGCUGAAUAAUCUGUAGGCAGAGCAAAAAACAGAUUACAAGUUACUGUAAAUUGUACUGACAAGUACAGGCAGCAAUAGGAAAGUAAUUAUGGGCACAGUCUUAACGGUCUUUACCUCUUUGCAGAGUGAGGUCCAUCCCUAUCAUCCAUCCCUCGGUGCUUCAGUAAUUAUCGGGAGGAAAGGAGGUAGGGAAUAUUUUGCAUCCACAGGAUCCAGAGCUCUCCUGUUCCCCUGGCAUACCCCUGGAGCUUCCAUACUUAUAUUCCCACCAGC
rnacentral:lncRNA from 1 species